CCGACACUACAGUCUACAGAGCAAUAGCGGCAACAUGGCUCCUCGUUCUGCCUUCUAGAGCAGCGGUGCAGUUGCUGCGGCCAUGCAGCUCGGCUUGCGGACAAAUGCAGUUGACUUGCACAGGCCGGUUGCUCUCUGCGACGAACCAAUUUGAUACCAUUUUUAUUUGGGUGAUUCAGCGUCAGAAGCUAACUCUUGCUUUUGCAUCUUUUCUUCCACAGCGGUUGCAGAUGUGUUGGAGCAAGAGGGCUCCUAAAACAUAGCCUGCAUCACCUCAAGUCUUCAGACACUGAAACCAGGUAUCAACAUUAAGUACACUGAUCUCUGGAAUCCUCUCUAGAAUUUACUGAUGAAAUCUUGUGUUAGUGUACAGUGUUUUGCAAUUCUCCUGGUUUGUGUUGCAAUUCUACCUGUGCAGCUCAGUUGCCUCUCCCCGUGCAGCUCGCUUGCCGCCCCCGUGCAGCUCACCUCCGCCGAGCAAACUCUUUUCGGCGAGUCCACAUCGCGUCCGCACCACAUCGUGCAAUUUGAGUGCAGUUUUUGAUUAUUUUUGGAGCAGCACAUCCAUCCAACCCAAUAAGUUCAGAGUUUGUGUGUUCAGUGCAGUACCGCAGUGCAAUGCAGUGCAGUUUCGGUUUCAGAGUCCCGUUGAAGGCCUCUUGGUGCUAUCCUCACUUAAUUUUUAUGUGAAAAUGUGUGUACAGCCUGUGUAACAGAAUUGCAAGGCCAAGUUUGUCAUAAAAAAUGAUGCUUAGAUGCGAUUCAGUGUAAAAUCCUAUGUGGUUCACUUGGUAAACAAAAAAGUGUCUGGUAUGUAAAUUUUUGAAGCUCACUUUGUAAUGUCAUGUGGCUAACCUCUCGAUAGUUUUGCGGUCCACUUACGCCCGAGGUGAAGCCCGCUGUGUAAUCUCAUGCGGCACACCUCUUGAUAGUGUUGCGAUUCACUUACGCCCGAUCCAAUAUGAAGCUCACUUUGUAAUGUCAUGUGGCUCACCUCGAUAGUUUUGCGAUCCACUUACGCUCGAGGUGAAGCUCACUUUGUAAUCUCAUGCGGGUCACCUCUUGAUAGUGUUGCAAUUCACUUACACCCUAUCCAAUAUGAAGCUCACUUUGUA
rnacentral:lncRNA from 1 species